rnacentral:sRNA from 1 species
CUCCGUGGCCCUUCGGCGCGUGAGUGACAGCGGCCCAGACGGAGGGGGCGAUCUCCGCGCCGUGGCUGGGGCCGGUCGCGGGGCAGACUAAUCCCCUGCUCCUGGCCAGGGGAGGCUCCCGAGCGGAUCCUCGGGAAAGGGGCUCCGAAGGUCAAGAAAUUGCCCUGCUGGGCGUCCGGAGAGUGGGAAUAUAAAGCACUUUUUGUAUCCCGCCCCUCCCCCGUCACGUGACCACGCGGGGCGGAAAGAAGAAAUCCGAGGACCGGGCGACGCCUAGAACAGGAGCCCAUGAUGCUGCCUAAACCUGGGACCUAUUACCUCCCCUGGGAGGUUAGUGCAGGCCAAGUUCCUGAUGGGAGCACACUGAGAACAUUUGGCAGGUUAUGCCUCUAUGACAUGAUUCAGUCCAGAGUAACACUGAUGGCUCAGCAUGGAUCCGAUCAGCACCAGGUUCUUGUCUGUACCAAGUUGGUGGAGCCCUUCCACGCCCAGGUGGGCUCCCUGUACAUCGUCCUCGGGGAGCUCCAGCAUCAGCAGGACAGAGGCUCCGUGGUGAAGGCGCGCGUGCUGACCUGUGUGGAGGGGAUGAACCUGCCCUUGCUGGAACAAGCCAUCCGGGAGCAGAGACUGUACAAGCAGGAGCGGGGCGGCAGCCAGUAGGAAACAGCAGCCUAGCAACACCCUCACCUGCUUCAGAGCCCAAACCCUCUGGAGCUGCGGGAGCCCGGGAGAGCACAGACGCCUCCCCAGCGAAGGCCUUGUCUGGAGCUCGAAAGCCGAGGGGCGGGUGAUGAAUCCAGCCCCUUCCCCUACUUUGGGAUUGGCUCAGCAAUGAGAGCCCAGAAAGCAUGCCAUAAAUCCGACAGCCCUACCCCAGGAGACUGCAGGUGGCCGAGCUUGGGCGCCGGGGCUGUGCUUGGUGUGGGGCCAUGGAGGGUUCCAGAAGGUCCUGGUGAAUAAAGGCCCAGGGGGCGUGUUCUUGAAGUGUGCUCGUGGUGCAGCGCCAGCGGGGGCCAGGAGGGGGAGCUGCAACCCAGGCUGUGGGCUGCAGCCUCUCAGGGCUUCUGGUGAAUUCUGGGCCUGAGGCCUCAGGGUAGGGCACCAGGGGCCCAGGGACUGGGGUGGGGGGCCCAGGAUGCAGGGGUCUGCCCCUGGCCAGGCUCUGCCUUCAGAGGAGGCUGAGCGUCGUCACACGGGCUGGGCCGAGGCCCUGGGCCCUGACCGUGCAGCCUAAGACAGGACUGUGGCUUUAAGACCCUCCUGACCCCUGACCUCUGCCCCCAGUGGCCCUGGCCCCUGGGCAGCCCUUCCUGGCCGCCAUGUGUACCCAGAGCCUGGGACUGGCUGGGCUGGGCAGUGACCCGGGUGGGAAAGGGUGGUCUUGCCCUCUAAGGCCUGGCACAAGUGAGAGGCCUGGGGGUCCAUGUUGGGCUGGGCUGGGCGAGGGGUGGUCUCUGACUUCCUGGGGGUUCUGGCUGGGAUGGGCAGGGGGCUGGGUGGGAGAGUGUGGGCCCUGCCCUCCGAGGCCGGGCAUGGGCGAGAAGCCUGGGGGUCCUGGCUGAACUGGGCUGGGUGAAGGGGGGCCCCUGACCCCCUUGGGGUCCGGGCUGGGCUGGGCGAGGGGCGGUCUCCGACCCCCAGCCAGGUUCCCAGGCAGGAUGAGCUGGGGUUGGGGUGGCUAGGCCGUGGGCCUUGGGAGCUGGGCAGUCUGGGCUGGGCUGGGCUAGGCAGGGCGCCACAUGGAAGCUGGAGGAGCAACGGGAGCGCUGGGUGUGGGGUGCAAAUUGCCCAGUGCCUUCUGUUUCCCAGGCAGCUCUGUGGCCAUGGAUAUGUUCCAGAAGGUAGAGAAGAUCGGAGAGGGCACCUAUGGGGUGGUGUACAAGGCCAAGAACAGGGAGACAGGGCAGCUGGUGGCCCUGAAGAAGAUCAGACUGGAUUUGGAGAUGGAGGGGGUCCCAAGCACUGCCAUCAGGGAGAUCUCGCUGCUCAAGGAACUGAAGCACCCCAACAUCGUCCGGUGAGUUGGGGAUUGAGGUGGGGAAGCUGGGAUGGCGAAGGUAGCAUCCUGACUGCCAUCUCCCUGCCAGACUGCUGGACGUGGUGCACAACGAGAGGAAGCUCUAUCUGGUGUUUGAGUUCCUCAGCCAGGACCUGAAGAAGUACAUGGACUCCACCCCAGGCUCAGAGCUCCCCCUGCACCUCAUCAAGAGCUACCUCUUCCAGCUGCUGCAGGGGGUGAGUUUCUGCCACUCACAUCGGGUCAUCCACCGAGACCUGAAGCCCCAGAACCUGCUCAUCAAUGAGUUGGGUGCCAUCAAGCUGGCUGACUUCGGCCUGGCUCGCGCCUUUGGGGUGCCCCUGCGCACCUACACCCAUGAGGUGGUGACACUGUGGUAUCGCGCCCCCGAGAUUCUCUUGGGCAGCAAGUUCUAUACCACAGCUGUGGAUAUCUGGAGCAUUGGUUGCAUCUUUGCAGAGAUGGUAGAGAGAGGGGCACAUAUGGCCACAGGGUGCCACAGGCAGGGUCCUACUGGGGUUGGGUGGGGUCCACUGAUGCUCCCAUUCGAGGCGGAUUAAGGAGUGUUUGGGGCUGGACAUGGCUCACGCCUGUAAUCCCAGCACUUUGGGAGGCUGAGAUGGGAGGAUUGCUUGAGCCCAGGAGUUUGAGACCAGCCUGGGCAACGUAACAAAUCCCCAGCUCUUAAAAAACUACAAAAAUUAGCUGGGUGUGGUGGUGCAUGCUUGUAGUCCCAGCUACUUGGGAGGUUGAGGCAGGAGGAUUGCUUGAACCUGUGGUUGAGGCUGCAGUGAGCUGUGAUCGCAGGACUGCACUCUAGCCUGGGUGAUAGAGCAAGACUCCGUCUCUAUUUUUUAAAAAAAGGUGUUUGGUACUGGCUAAAGGACUGAGGAAGGUAGCCUUAUUCCAAAAGAGGCCAGAAUUCUUUGCACAGUCAUGGGAAAGAUAUCUUGACAGGCCUCUCCCUGGGUCUGGCCACUUAUCUGGUAUUGGAUUCUGUAUAACAAAGUGGCGGACCCCACACCUUCUCUUCUUCCCCAUUUCAGGUGACUCGAAAAGCCCUGUUUCCUGGUGACUCUGAGAUUGACCAGCUCUUUCGUAUCUUUCGUAUGCUGGGGACACCCAGCGAAGACACAUGGCCCGGGGUCACCCAGCUGCCUGACUAUAAGGGCAGCUUCCCUAAGUGGACCAGGAAGGGACUGGAAGAGAUUGUGCCCAAUCUGGAGCCAGAGGGCAGGGACCUGCUCAUGCAACUCCUGCAGUAUGACCCCAGCCAGCGGAUCACAGCCAAGACUGCCCUGGCCCACCCGUACUUCUCAUCCCCUGAGCCCUCCCCAGCUGCCCGCCAGUAUGUGCUGCAGCGAUUCCACCAUUGAGAAUGUCAAGGCCACACUCAGAUCCUUUCUCGAGCAGCUGCUGCCCCAGCUGCCUCCUACCCAUUGCCAAGAGAGGAUGCAUCUGGGGAGAGCAAAGCACUAAGGAAUUUAGCAUCAGCCUGCAGAGGGCUGAGUCUGGGUUAGUCCUGCCCGCAGGUUAGCGAGAUCCUGUGUUGUUUUUUGGGGUUGGAUGGUGCCGUUUCAAAAUAGAGGCAUAGAUGCUCCAUGCACGAGGGGUCCCCGGGCACUGGAACAAGUGCCAAGUUGAAGGCAGGGGGCCUGCCAGAGCUGGGUGUGGGUAUUCAGGCCCUCACCUGCCCCGCCUGCAGGGCCAGACCCUGAGGAAAGGGCGCCCCCUGCUGGUCUUUUUGGAUUUAAAAUGUUUGGGGAAGAGUUGAGUUCCAGUUCAGAGUCCCAAGUUAAACAGGAGGGAGUGAGGGAGAGGACAGAGGGCGUUCCCCGGAUCCCAGGAGAGCUGGGCUAUGACUGCAAUAAGGAGUUGUUCCUUCACCUGAGAUGUGCUUCUUUUGGUUCAUUUCUGGCUUGACAACAAGAAAUAAACGUGGUAUGUUCCUGA